rnacentral:misc_RNA from 1 species
GAUGAAGAACGUAGCGAAAUGCGAUAAGUAAUGUGAAUUGCAGAAUUCAGUGAAUCAUCGAAUCUUUGAACGCACGUUGCGCCCGCCAGUAUUCUGGCGGGCAUGCCUGUUCGAGCGUCAUUACAACCCUCAGGCCCCCGGGCCUGGCGUUGGGGAUCGGCGGAAGCCCCCUGUGGGCACACGCCGUCCCUCAAAUACAGUGGCGGUCCCGCCGCAGCUUCCAUUGCGUAGUAGCUAACACCUCGCAACUGGAGAGCGGCGCGGCCAUGCCGUAAAACACCCAACUUCUGAAUGUUGACCUCGAAUCAGGUAGGAAUACCCGCUGAACUUAAGCAUAUCAAUAAGCGGAGGA